GUCAACCAGGAUGUGAGCGAUCAUUUUUAUGGAAGUCGUGUGUGUUGAGUGCGUGCGAGUAUGCGAGAGUGACUGUUUGCGUGAAUGUGUGUGUUGUGAGAGUGUGCGAUCAAUUUUAAAAAUCUACACCGUGAUCUUAUUUGAUCUGAUCCGAGUUUGCCCCUGCUCGGUUUCAGAGAUGAUAAUAACCGACUCGGGAGCUUCUGUAGCGAUGACCGUGAGGCAUGUUAACACAACUCGGGGCAUCCGCAAUUGAAUUUGUGGUAAGAAAUGAUGAGUCGAUCAGAUAUACUAGAGCAUGCAGGGUGCUGAGUUUCGACCCAGUGUUCCCUGUUUGUUCAGUGAGUAUAGAGGCGAUUCUGAUCUCU